UCUCACUUUCGGAGUCAUUUUCAGUAUCUUGAGACCCCUCCGACAUUUCCUCUUCAGACUGGACUCCAAGACAUUUAAAUCGCCACAUUGUGUUCAGCAUUAUAAAUGGUUUUGAUCCGAGAAGCUGCAUGAGCAGUUAUCCAUUUAAAAAUGUGCUCUACUUCAAUCUUGCGUCCACUGUAUUCUUUAAGCAUGACUUUCCCUUUUGAAGUACUUGUUUGUGGAACAGACAUAAUGAGUGUGGAUCGGACCCAGCCUCUUCUCCUGCAAUAUCUAUAAGAGAGGAAACUAGACUAUACGUAACAUGGACCUGGAAAAGCUUAAAAAUAUGAAGAGGAUUGAACUGGCUGGCAUCUGUGCAUCUUCAUUUAUGAAAACACUCCUCAUAGACUUAAAACAAAUGACAGAGAACAAAUUAGUCAGCUUCUUCUAAAAUACAGUGGUCUCCCCUUA